ensembl:rRNA 5S_rRNA 5S ribosomal RNA
GGUUAUGGCAAUACCAUCCUGAACACGCCGGAUCUCCUCUGAUCUCAGAAGCUAAGCAGGGUGGAGCCUGGUUAGUACUUGGAUGGGAGAAUAUUUGGAUUCUUAAACA